GCAGUAUCCUGACUGUGCUAAGGUAGCAUAAUCAUUAGUCUUUUAAUUGGAGACUGGUAUGAAUGGCUUAACGAAAGAUUAACUUUUUUUGUUAUAUAAAUUGAACUUAAUUUUUUAGUGAAAAAGCUAAAAUUUUUCAGAAAGACGAGAAGACCCUAUAGAGUUUUAUGUUUAAUUUUAUUUUUUCUUAUUAGAUUUUUUAAGAAUAACUAUGACUAAAUCAUUUUGUUGGGGCGACAUUAAGAUAUAAAAAACUCUUACUUUUAAAAAUUUUUUUGAAAAUAUAUUUUGAUCCUUUAUAAAAGAUUAUAAGAAAAAAUUACCUUAGGGAUAACAGCGUAAUCUUUUUUGAGAGUUCUAAUCGACAAAAAGGUUUGCGACCUCGAUGUUGGACUAAAAUUUAGGCAAGGUGUAGCAGCUUUGUUUUAAGGUCUGUUCGACCUAUA
rnacentral:rRNA from 1 species